UACGUAGGUGGCAAGCGUUGUCCGGAUUUACUGGGCGUAAAGGGCGUGCAGGCGGUUGUUAGUUCAGGGUGAAAGCUCCCGGCUCAACUGGGAGAGGUCCUUGGAUACUGGCAGACUUGAGGAGGGUAGAGGAGAGUGGAAUCCCGGUGUAGUGGUGAUAUGCGUAGAUAUCGGGAGGAACACCAGUGGCGAAGGCGGCUCUCUGGGCCCUAGCCUGGACGCUGAGACGCGAAAGCGUGGGAGCGAACCGG
rnacentral:rRNA from 1 species